CACGUAGGGGGCAAGCGUUGUCCGGAAUCAUUGGGCGUAAAGAGCUCGUAGGCGGCUCAGUAAGUCGGGUGUGAAACCCUCAGGCUCAACCUGGGGACGCCACCCGAUACUGCUGUGGCUAGAGUCCAGUAGGGGAGUGUGGAAUUCCCGGUGUAGCGGUGAAAUGCGCAGAUAUCGGGAGGAACACCGAUGGCGAAGGCAGCACUCUGGGCCGGCACUGACGCUGAGGAGCGAAAGCGUGGGGAGCGAACAGG
rnacentral:rRNA from 1 species